rnacentral:piRNA from 1 species
UGAAAUGUGUUCACUUCUCUAUUACUCAGUA